GAAUGGGGUUGGGCCUUUUAGGGUGGCCUGUCCCUUUAAGAUGAAUGGGGUUGGGCUUUUGGGGUCGCCUGUCCCUUUAAGAUGAAUGGGGUUGGCCUUUUAGGGUCGCCUGUCCCUUUAAGGUGAAUGGGGUUGGCCUUUUAGGGUGGCCUGUCCCUUUAAGAUGAAUGGGGUUGGGCUUUUAGGGUGACCUAUCCCUUUAAGAUGAAUGGGGUUGGGCUUUUAGGGUGGCCUGUCCCUUUAAGAUGAAUGGGGUUGGGCUUUUAGGGUCGCCUGUCCCUUUAAGACAAAUGGGGUUGGGCCUUUUAGGGUCGCCUGUCCCUUUAAGAUGAAUGGGGUUGGGCUUUUAGGGUGGCCUGUCCCUUUAAGAUGAAUGGGGUUUUGCUUUUAGGGUCUCUGUCCCUUUAAGAUGAAUGGGGUUUUGCUUUUAGGGUGGCCUGUCCCUUUAAGAUGAAUGGGGUUGGGCUUUUAGGGUCUCCUGUCCCUUUAAGAUGAAUGGGGUUUUGCUUUUAGGGUCUCCUGUCACUUUAAGAUGAAUGGGGUUGGACCUUUUAGGGUCGCCUGUCCCUUUAAGGGAGCCCCCCCUGUGGGGCCACCAUCUGUGUCCCCCCCCCCCACUGUGACCCCAAAUGUCCCCCCGAAACCCCCCCCAAAUGACCCCAAAUGUCCCCCAAUGUGACCCCAUAGGGUCCCCCCAUCCCAUAUCUGACCCCAUAUGGCCCCAAAUGACCCCAAAUGUCCCCAAUGUGACCCCAAAUGUCCCCAAUGUGACCCCAUAGGGUCCCCACAUCCCAUAUCUGACCCCAUAUGGCCCCAAAUGACCCCAAUAUGACCCCAUAGGGUCCCCCCAUCCCAUAUCUGACCCCAAAUGACCCCAAAUGUCCCCCAAUGUGACCCCAUAGGGUCCCCCCAUCCCAUAUCUGACCCCAAAUGACCCCAAAUGACCCCAAAUGUCCCCAAUGUGACCCCAUAGGGUCCCCCCAUCCCAUAUCUGACCCCAUAUGGCCCCAAUUGUGACCCCAUUGUGACCCCAUAGGGUCCCCCCAUCCCAUAUCUGACCCCAAAUGACCCCAAAUGUGACCCCAAUGUGACCCCAUAGGGUCCCCCCAUCCCAUAUCUGACCCCAAAUGGCCCCAAAUGUAACCCCAAUGUGACCCCAUAGGGUCCCCCCAUCCCAUAUCUGACCCCAAAUGUCCCCAUAUGGCCCCAAAUGACCCCAAUGUGACCCCAUAUGGUCCUCCCAUCCCAUAUCUGACCCCAAAUGUCCCCAUAUGGCCCCAAAUGACCCCAGUGUGACCCCAUAGGGUCCCCCCAUCCCAUAUCUGACCCCAAAUGUCCCCCAUUGUGACCCCAAUGUGACCCCAUAGGGUCCCCCCAUCCCAUAUCUGACCCCAUAUGGCCCCAAAUGUGACCCCAAAUGACCCCCAGUGUGACCCCAUUGUGACCCCAUAGGGUCCCCCAUCCCAUAUCUGACCCCAAAUGACCCCAAAUGUGACCCCAAUGUGACCCCAUAGGGUCCCCCAAU
ensembl:lncRNA